AGUGUUUUCAGGUAAGUGAAGAGGUGGAAAGAGAGUCCCAGAAUGACAGCUAAGCAUCAUGCCUGGAGAACAACCAGUCAAGACUCGAAGAGGAAUGGAUUCAGAAUGAGGACAAACCCCACUGUGACAGAGAACUGAACACUUGAGAGCUGGUUUUCAAGGGGAGGUUCCCCUGCACCAGAGACUGGUGAAGUUCUGCAAGCCACCUCUUCCCAUCAGCCUUCUGGAUAUUCUAAAGCUAUUAUUUUUGUGAUGUUUGUAUUUUCUCUGCUCAUCUGCUAAACAAUUUCCAUCUUGAAUGUUAUACCACAGAUGCCACCUGACUAACUUGAUAAGCUAAUAAUCAAUCUGCUAAUAUGAGGUGAUGAAAAAACUCACACUGGAAAAUAUCUCCCAUAUAUUACAAUUGUCAGUAAUUUCUGAACUGACAGCUAUUGUUAUGUUCUCCAAACAUGUUAUUUGCAGUGUUGCCACAUUCAGCCUGACCCUGAGAAGAUGUGCCUUCCUUCCAUUAUGCUGUAGAUUUUUCCCUAAGGACAUCAGGGCUUCUUGCUCUGGUCUAGGCCCUCACUAUAGAACUGUUCUUGUUUUUUCCCUUCUUAGAGGACUUUAGUCAUGAAGUGUUUGAAUGAAUGACUUCUUUUGUGUCUGCAAAUUCAGACAUGGGUGUAAUUAUUAAUCAUGUUUCAGAGGUGCUGGGAAAGUUGCCAGUAUGGUAACCUUUACUCUGUGGUGGAGAUUUUGUUUGAUAUAUUUAUUCAACUAUAACAAUUCUGGAAUGUUCAGGUAUUUUCUGAAGUAGAUUUAAAAGUGAGUAGCCCUCAAGUCCUUCCUGAAAGAGUUCAUGAGUUCACAGAACAAUAAGGAAAUGAAUAAGUACCAUUUUGUUUCUUAAGAGGAUACUAUCUCAUGGGACUUUAUAAGUCAGGAAUAACACAGUGAUUAGGAACAAAAACUCUGGUGUAAGAGAAUCUUGGGUUCUAAGUAUGUGAGCUCAGUACUAGUUAUGGGAUUUGGGGAGAUUAUUUAAACUCUCAAGUGCCUCAGUUUUUCCAAAUAUAAUAUGGAAUACAAAAUCAAGCAUUUCAGCAUUGAAAGAAUCAAACAACUAGCACACACAAGUUAUAAUAACAUAUGUGGAAUAUGCCUUAUGUUAUAUCUGCAUAUAUAGUUCCAUGUUUAAAGUACUUACUAUGGUUUGAUUUGAUUCUGUGCUGGACCCUGGCAAUGCUAAGAUUAAUAAAGCAAGUUCUAAGAUGUUAAGGGGUUCAGGAUUCUUCUAAGGAAAACAGUAUGUGUAUUCCUCUCUUAGCUGAAUUUAACCUUCUGAAUCUUUCUGGACUUUGUGGACAAUGCAUAUAAAGGAAUCUAGUCAACAACAGAGUCUGCCUGCAAGUUAUCCAGAGUCUUGUCACUUUUUCUCUGUACACACCUUCACUCACGCCUCAGUACUUUCAAAACACUUUCCUUCUUUUGCAAUAAUUCUUUGAGGUAGGUAGUUAAGAAAAAUGACUUUACUAAGUCCUAUUGCUUAACUAGUAUUCCCAGAAGUACAUAUACGAGAAAGAGAUAAUUAACCUGACUUCUCUUUCAUAUGACUGCACUGUGACAAGUCAAAUCACUAGAAAACAAAAGCAAAAACAAAAAUGAAAAACAGCUAUUGUUUUCAUUUUAAGGACAAAUGCUUAGGAUCUCAGUCAUAUUUUUUUCCUCAGCAGCAUCUGCUCACAGUCAAAGUCAACACCACAGUGUCUCAGGAAAGUCUCAAUUUGGAUGUGCCUUGUAUUGAACUGGACACAUGUAGGCAAAGAACAUUUGUCGGUACCUGCAGUUAAGGAGAGUUUAGCCUUCCCUGAAAUACAUAAGCUGUACACGGACUGAUUUAAGCAGCACAAAGGAAAAAGAAGUACAUAUUUCCUAAAGGAUGGCAAUUCUACUGUCAUUUACUAGUAAGAAAUGUAACAGUGAAAUAAAAAUAAUAGUAAAAUAUUGUUACAAAGUAUUUCCUUAAUUAAUGAGUUAUGUUCUAUGAAAAUAAAAUCAUGUCCUUCAAGUUAGCCUAAUAUAUUAUGAAAUAAUGGGAAUCUAAUAAAAUGGGUUUUAUGUUUGAGGCUGAGCAGAACAGUGGAAUUUUGGCAAGUAACAUAAUUUCUCCAAGACUGAUUGUGCUUAACUGUAUAACUGAGACACCAAUACAUAUCAUAGGUGGUAUGUUCCUUAAAUAACUAAUGUGAAGUUUCAGUCAUAAAGAAGGCACUCCAAAAGAGGUAUUGAAUACUACCUUUUGCUCUUAUAUGAGGAUUUUACUUUAACUGGCCAUGAAAUUUAAUAUAUUAAUAUUUGUAUUUUGACACAUAAUUUGCCACAAAUCUCUUCCCAAUCAAUAGUAUAAUAUUUAUUAGAAGUUACCAAGACAAUUCAUUUCAUAACUUUCAAGUUUGAAAUUUUAGCCAAAUAUUUUUCAGUGCAUUUGCAUGAAAACCUCAAAAUAUGUUCAAUGAAAAGAAUAAAAUUGUAAGUUAUUUUUAGGAAGACAUCAUUGUUUUCAGAACAAAUCAUUGUUUUCAGAACAAAUGGAUAAUACCAUUUAAUACAUCCCCUAUCGAGCAUCGAGAAAGAAGGAGGGCAAGUCUGUGACUUCCAUGAUUGUCAUUUAGAGAGGCUUCCAGGAAGCAGCACGAAUAUCAGGGCCAGGAAAUGAGAAGAGAAGAAAGCUGGGGGCAAGAGAGUCGCUGCACAGAUCUUACAGCCCCAGAACAAAGAUAUUUUUUAGAGCAGCAGCAGUGAGAAAAGGACAAGCAAAAGUUUAAAAAAAAACACUAAUGAGAGAAAAAAUAAGAGGAGGAAUGCUAUUACCAGUGAUUUAAGGCUAUCACUUCACAGAUUUCAGCGACUUCAUUAAUGACAGGUGUCAUGCAAUUGUCUCUUGCGUGUAGAAAGUUAAAUAUUGUCUUGUGGGGUGAAUUGUAGUGCUGGUUAGAUUUAUUUGAUGAUUUAUUCCCAACUUUGCUAACAUGGCUUGGCAUGUGAGAAACUGCUCUCUCAGCAGCCAUAAAUUUCCUCAAAGUUUCAUUUCAUUUUAUGGAGAAAAUUAAGUGCUCAUUCCAACAGCAAUAAGGAAAAAUAAAUCCCAUUUUAAGCAUAUAUUUCUUGUUGUGAGCUUAUAAUACAGUUUUUACUAGUCUAUUUUAUUUUUUGGUGAAUAUUGAGUUUCUACUUUAAGAUAUUCAGAGAAGGCACAGAUAUGUAGAAAAAUAGAAAAUGUAUUAGAGAUAGUUUAUUUUCUUAAAAUAAUCCUUAUUGAUAUGCUAUAGCUGGUGUUCAGUGAUGCUUAGCAAAUUGGUGCUUGGCAGCUAUAUUGACAAUUCUGUUAUCAAGUUAAUGGUGUAGAAGUACUGUUAGCGUUGUCCUUCACCUCCUGGCAGUCCUGGGCAAACUUAUUUCCAAGCACAUAAUCAUCACUUCACUUUAUGAUUAUCAUUCUGUAAACAACUAGAACUUGUGGCAGUAGUUCUAAAUUGCCUCUUUGGACAAGCAUAUAAAUGAUGUAACCUCAUUUAUGACUGAUGUUUGUGCUAAAAGGAUGUUUCAUUGUAUUGUUUAAAGUUUUUCUAUGAUGGAUAAGUGAAAAACUGGUAUUUUUGUUGUAAUAACUAAGAUGAUGACUUUUCAUAUUGCAUUUUCUUUUACUUAUUUCCUUUUCAAAUUGAUGGAUACUUUAGUCUGAACUCCCAGAAGCAACUUUUUUUUUCUUCUUAUCAAUGGCACAAGUAGCCAUGAAAGUUACAUUCUGUGUUGAAAUGUUCCCUUACUUAAAAUUAAAAUACUCCAUGAACAUAUGAGGCAUUUUCCAUAAGCAGAAUUCCUUAGAAUUCUGUAACAGUGCAGUAAAAUUCACCACAUUUGAAAGAUUAAAACUUGUAUCCCAACAAUGACAUCUUUUCAUAUCUUGGAUGGUACCCAUGGGUUGGUGCUCAAAAGGCCCUAUUUGGAUAUGUGAAUUAGGCAAAUCUUGCUUGAAGAGUUUGGAGGUUUCACUAAGGAAUAAUAAAUGUCAUGCUAUUGAACAAUAUCCUAGAGUGGUAUAGGCACUGAAGAGGAGAUUGCUCUUACGAAGUGGUUCUUAUGGUAAUAGAUAUUGACAAGUACAUUAUUUCUAAUGAUGGCACCAAAAGUCAGAUCAUCUAGUAGAAACAAAAUCCAGCCUCAUACAGGGAAAACAGCAUGUAAAGGUGAAGGCAGGGACUGGGUAAGGUGUCUAUAGAUAAGGAAUUGCAGCCUGUAACUAGAAGCUAAGAUGAGAUGCAGGUAUUAAACAUUCUUUCUGGGUCAUUAGGUGGAACCAACCUUACUGACACCUUGAUUUCAGCCCUCUGACUUGAAUGCUCCCUUAUAUCCUAGUCCAUUCAGCUUUAUAGUCCAUAACAAAGUUGUUUUCACUAUGAGAACUCUAGGAAAAACUACCAGUUUUUGUAUGGAACCAUAUAAAUAAAUGGCAGGAAAUAUAUUUAUAAAAGUAUCUUUACAUAUGCAUAUUUUGAAUUGUUCCUUUAGAAUGAAUUCCUAUACUUAUGAUUACAAAGAGCAAACACUUCGAUGUUAAUAUCCCAUGUUGCAUUUUGUCUAAGUAUUUUCUAAAAUGUUUAUAGUAAUUUUUCUUAAAAUCAGCAUAGAAAGAAGUAUCUAUUGCUAGCCUUGUAAAGCAAUAGCUUUUGUAUGUUUGUUUAUAAACCAGCAGGAAUGCAAGUAAUAAACUCACAUCAAAGUAUUGUGGGAGUUAUCACAGGAGAACAGAUGUUCUUUAGAACAGUUGAAGGAAAAACAAUGUGAGAAAAUUAAGAGGAGAAACUAAUUUGGAAGGAUGGAAUUAUUUUUUUGUCCUUUACAAAACCAUCAUGUAUAGUCCAUAAGAUCAAUUGUUAUUUCAGAGAAACUUACGCAGUAUAAUACAAAGUUCAUGGCCAUCAACAGUUACUAAGCAGCCCUUAUAUCUCAGUAUUAAAGGGAAGAGAGGUAAGAUGUGACUCUUCUUCUCUGUGCCUCCUUGAUAGUGGUCAAGUGACCUCCAGAAUAUGUGCAGGGAGCAUAUGGAGUCCCUGUGCAAGGACUAAAGUGCAGUCAAUGCACUUCAGUAGCCAUCACAAUCUGCAACAGGGACAUGCUCCGGGUCAAGAAUUUGUUUGCACAAAGAAUUUGUUUGCACAAACAUAACUAUAAAAUCCUAGCAGGAUUAUUGUACUAUCUGUUUAUAAAGUACAUAUUAGUUGUUAAUAAGGCUUAAUACUAUGCUUCACCUUGGUAUAGAGACACCACUUUUUCUUUUCUAACAAAACAAACAAAAUAAAACACAGUGGGCAAAAAAAUAAGUAUUUAAAGCACUCCUUACAGUACUGAAAACCGAGGCAUGGAUAAAUAACUUCCACUGCACUCUUUCGUUCAAAUACUACAUAAUCUUAAUAGGGUAUGAUGAACUUUUAUACUUAUUGUCAUAAUAAUGUAUCCUAAGAUACAGUGAAGUAAAGACAAAUCACAUAAUGAUAUUAAAAUAUGUUUAGUUAUUAUAAAACAAUAUUAACUACGUAUUUACAUAUAUUUCUUUAAAUAUUGAAUGGUUAAUGUGUUCUGUGUCUAUGAGUAUGUGCUUGCUGAACACAAUAAUUAUACUUCAGGUGGGGAGAUGGUUCGUAUACAUAACACAUCUUAAUUCUUUUCUACUUUCCUUUGCUCUCCACUAUCUGCAUGGUGAAUCUGACUGACUUGAGAGGCACCUACUUAAGUAAACCGCAUCACUAAACAUGGCUGGAUGGAUGAUGGACAUGUGAACAUGGGGACAAUACCCGAUCCCUGGCCCUUUGUCUUCAGUGCCUCUCCUGUUCUCUGUUCCUUGAAUGCAAGUGAGCUCAGUGACACUCCUCCAUCAUGCCUUUCCAAGUGAUGUGUCUACACUGGAGCCACCAAACCAGAGACUGAAAUUUCUGAAACUGUGAAUUAAAAUA